rnacentral:rRNA from 1 species
GCCGGAAUCGCUAGUAAUCGCGAAUCAGAAUGUCGCGGUGAAUACGUUCCCGGGUCUUGUACACACCGCCCGUCACACCAUGGGAGUCGGAAAUGCCCGAAGUCAGUGACCUAACCGAAAGGGAGGAGCUGCCGAAGGUGGAGCCGGUAACUGGGGUGAAGUCGUAACAAGGUAAC